GACAGAGGGUGCGCACGUUGUUCGGAAUUACUGGGCGUAAAGAGCUCGUAGGCGGUUUGUCGCGUCUGCCGUGAAAACCCGAGGCUUAACCUCGUGGCUUGCGGUGGAUACGGGCAGACUAGAGGUAGGUAGGGGAGAAUGGAAUUCCCGGUGUAGCGGUGAAAUGCGCAGAUAUCGGGAGGAACACCGGUGGCGAAGGCGACACGCUGGGCCGUACCUGACACUGAUGCGCGACAGCAUGGGGAGCAAACAGG
rnacentral:rRNA from 1 species